rnacentral:tRNA from 1 species
GUCUCCGUGGCGUAAUUGGUUAGCGCGUUCGGCAGUUAACCGAAAGGGUGAUGGUUCAAGUCCAUCCUGGGAUG